ensembl:lncRNA
CCACACAGAAAGGCCACUGGGCGUAAUCAAACCCAGGACCUUCUUGCUGCGACAGUGCUAACCACCACGUCACCGUGCCGCCCCCUUAGUUAAGUCAUUUAAUGUAAUAAAACCAAAUUACCAGGGAAUUUGGUAUCGCUUAUUUAUUAUAAAACCUUCAGUGGGAGUCAUUAUAGUCAAAGAAAUAGUCAUAGUUAGUGAAGCAAUAUGUGUGUGAGAAAAAUGUGUACUUGACAGUGCUAUAAAAUCAUUAAACAGGACAUCACAUGCUAGCGUGGAGACUGAAUUGACAACAUACUCGUGUCAUGUAUUGUGUGGAGAUUGCCUCAAAAACAUUCAAACACAAACAUUCAGUAAAACCUAAAUAAAAUGGUGAAUCCAUUAAAAAAUAAUAAUAACAGUGGUUGCCAUAGCACCAGGACACCAUUGUCACAGAGAGAGAACCUUCCACGGAAACACCAAUUUAAAUAAAAACAAGUUGUCACAACCGUUUAUCCCUGACAGACCGUAUCAUUACAAGUUCAUCAGUUACUAACUGCAUUUGUACAAGAUCAUUGUAUACGUGUCUCCCAGCUAAUCGAUGCAGCGUGGUGGAAACAACAGGAGGCCCCGGGCCCCCCGGUACAACCAGGACCAAGCCAGGCGGCAGAAUUUUACUGUCAAAGCUUUCCCAGGUAUUCCACGUGAGGGUGUCCAAAACUACUCAGAGACCAACACAAAAAGUGAGCUUAUUCAACAACUGCAUGAGGUGACAGAGGAGCUGGCCCUUGAGAAGAGCCUGAAGGAGAUGGAGAAAGCCAGGCGUGAAGAAAUGGAGAGACUCUGGAGGGCUGGUGAACCAGAGACGAUGAACACCUUUGGGAUUGCCAGUGGGGUUUGCAGCACCCUCAAAACCAAGAAGGAGAAGGAACUUCAAAUGGAAUUUGAGAACCUGCAAAUGUCUCAUAUAAUCAGGGAGCAGAAAUUCUCAGCGGAGAUCCAGCUCGAGAGAGAGAGAAAUGCAGCUCUCCGUGAAGAACUUAAACAUCUUCAGACCAACUGGAGCCAUGAAGAGGAUUUAAAGAUGAAACUCAAGAUGUCCAAGGAUCUGGCAGCCAGAAAGCAGCUAAUGGUAACCAAGGAUGAUCUGCUUCGCCACAUGAAGGUGAAGAUCCAGACUCUGAAGGACAACGCCUCUGAGAUGGAGAAGACCUUUGUUAAAGACAUUGAGGACUUGAAACACCAACAGCUCUCAAGCAACCUGGAGCAUGACACCAAGCUCCACGCUGAGGAGGAGGUCAGUCAGGGCCUCAGAACGGAACUCUGCAGACUCCUAGAAGAGCAGGAGGAAAACAUCAAAAAGAAGGACGCUCUUGAAAAGGAGGUGGUGGCAUUGCAGGAAAACACCUCAGAGAAGGAGAAGACCUUUCUGAAAGACUUGGAGGACCUGAAACACCAACAGGUCUCAAGCAACCUGGAGCAUGCCACCAGGCUCCACGCUGAGGAGGAGGUCAGUCAGGGCCUCAGAACGGAACUCUGCAGACUCCUAGAAGAGCAGGAGGAAAACAUCAGAAAGAAGGAAGCUCUUGAAAAGGAGGUGGUGGCAUUGCAGGACAACAUCAACGUCAGCCACAAUCUCCAGACUGACCUUGAGGAGGUGAAAGAAGAGAACCGAGUCAAUACCAGGGAACAAGAGGAGUGUGCCGUCCACGACUCACCAACCAAGGCCUAAUGUGAUUGGAUGUACCACUGUUUCCCCUAAAGGAAUAAUAUAGAUAUAUAUAAAUACAUUUAAUUGAAAUGAAAGCUGUAAGGGUCCUUUCUACUCCGCAUGUCGGGGCACCGGCCGGACAGCUAGAAACGCAGCCAAGAACUCAGUAUCAUCUGGAGCAUUAUCAAGGUCUAAGGUUUUUUACGGGGUGGGG